GAGCCAGGCCCGUGAAGCCAAGGACAUAGAGUGAUUUGCUUAGUCACAAAGGCUGUUAAACAUCAGAAGUAAUAUGUUCCUUCCUCUGUGGAUGCCAGUCUAUAUUUCUCAAAGCCUGAGUUCAAGGUCUUUGAAUUAUUGAGGAUUUGCAGGUCAGAUUGCGAGAACUCCACAAAUCUGGAGCUGUGGUACAAACAGGACCUCUAGACUUCUCACUCCAUGACCUACACCCAGGAGACAAAGUAUAUGUAAAGAACUUCCAGCAUGCUGGAGCAACUAGGCCUGCCUGGAAAGGUCCAUUCCAAGUACUGUUAUCCACUCCUAUAGCUAUUAAAAUUGGAGAAAAGGAUUCCUGGAUACAUUGCUGCCAUGUAAAACAGGUACCUUCUAUUGAUAUUGACUGAUUGUAUCUUGUCACAUUUGUUGUAUUUCCUAAUUAUUUUAAGAUUUGAUUUUGGUUUUGUAUUCACAUAUCAAUCUAAUCUAUCAUAUUCCAUGUUACUAUGUCACCCUCAAUUACUAUAUUUUGGCUAUUAGCUAUAUGUCCUGUUACACUGUCU
rnacentral:lncRNA from 1 species